rfam:Fibroporia radiculosa TFFH 294 genomic supercontigs, scaffold3630
AUUCUCUUAGUUUAAUGGUAGAACAUCAUUCUUCUAAAAUGUCAAUUUUGGUUCGAUUCCAAAAGAGAAUU